GCGGAGGAGGAUUCCAUUAUUAUUAUUAUUAUUUUUUGUUUGUCAUCUUUCCGUUUAAAUCCUCCUCUCAGCCCUUCUCCCUUCUUUGCCUGCUCCAAGAAAAACCCUAACCGAGUCCAAUGGCUGGCGGAGAAGAUCUCGACUGCCCCUCCGCGCUGGCGUCGGCGGCUUCGUCCGCCGGAUCGCCGCUCUCUCGCCUCGGAAGUCGGCGGUCCGUCCACCGUGCCCUUGGCGGCGGCGCAGUUGCCGAUGUGCUCCUUUGGAGGCGGAGGAACGCCGGGAUUCUAGUCGCGGCAGGCGCCACCGCCGUCUGGUUCCUCUUCGAACGGGCUGGUUACAGCUUCCUCUCUCUAAUGGCCAACGCAUUCCUCCUUGUCGUCGUUAUCCUCUUCUUCUGGGCCAAAUCAGCCUCUCUUCUCAACAGACCUCUUCCGCCCCUUCCCAAUCUUGAAGUUUCGGAGAAGUUCGUAGGGAAAGCUGCGGAUGAAGGUCGGGUGUGGAUCAAUCGUGUUUUGGCUGUUGGACAUGAUGUUGCCAUUAGGAGAGAUAGGAAAGUGUUUCUUCAGGUACUCUUUGCCCGCUUUCAUGCUUUGUUAAGUUUAAGAUUGUGUAUUUUCUUACUUGCGUCUGAUAUUAUUCUUUUGUCCCCUUUUGUUCUACAGGUUACAAUGGUUUUGUGGCUUGUUUCAUAUAUCGGGAGUUUGUUUAACUUCCUUACACUGGUUUACAUUGGGGUGCUUCUGUCUCUCACUGCUCCUGCAUUGUAUGACAAGUACCAGGGCCAUGUUGAUGAAAAGCUUGGUAUGGCACACAAAUUACUCUUGAAGCAGUAUGACAACAUUCUAAGCAGGGGAACAAGAAAGCCAGCCAAAGAAAAGAAGACUCAGUAGCAUGAUGGUCGCACUCUGUUGACUCCUCCCAUGCUCCAAGUUAUUUCGUUCGGUGGAUUUGAGUUCUAUAUCUCAUGUCUUCUUGCAAUCUUUGAAUUCCUGCACCAGUCAGAGGAUGAUUUAAUCAAGUUAUGGUGAUCUUAUGGCGAGGUUGAUGAGAGAUGAAAAGAUGGAACAUUUGCCAGAAAGGAUGAGUAUGAUGCCCUGAAUAUAGUUGUAUUAAGUGAAAAAUGAGACAUCUUUUACAUUUCUUAUCUUUACGUCUUCUUUCAGGAGUAAAAUAAUCAUCUUUACUUUCCUUCAUGUAAAGUUGUUUUGGUGGAUCUUUCAGAAGAAGACAAGGAAUUAAGAAAAUUUUCAAUUGUACAACAUUGAGAACAACAUGGUUCCUGAUUAUCCAUCUACCCUUGAUGUAACUCUCAGGAUUGUAGACACUGUUGAAGAUCCUAUGAUGUGUUAUGAUGAAAAGAAAGCAAGGACGACAAUUUGUUGCCAUUGCAUAUAAGAUUGUACUUGAUAGUAGUCAUGAUGAAAUUGGAAAUUAUUUAUUGGACAAUCUCCAGAACUUGUGGUAUUGUUUUCUCUGAUCGCUGAAUUCUCAAUGUGAGAUUUAUGAUACUAUGUUCAAAUAAAUGGUAAAUCUCUCUGGGGGGAAAAUGGCAACAUUAAUAAAAAAGAUGACCUAAUCAAAUUACGGCGAGUGCCUUAUUUACCAAAAGCAGGUGCAGGAGCACAGUAUGAGCUCUUAUAUAAAAUUAAUUGGUAAGUUUAAUAAGCGGCUGCAAGGAUGAGUUUCCGAGGAGAUUCUGAAGUGGUGCGCCACCCUAACUGGAUGAACUCUGUCUCGGUAAACAAAAUUUCUCCUUUUUUAUUCUUCUUUGAAUUCAACAACUUGCUACCAAGGUGAAUACAUGUAAAGCUCUUAUAAAAAUGUGGAAAAUUCUCCAUAAAGAAUGAGCAUGAGGCACCACACAUACAAGUACUUUGUGGAAAGUUAGUCACCUUAUACCAUUUUUCUAAUCUCUCUUACAUAAGUAAUUUUUCUUACUUUGAGAACAUAGACAUAAUAAGAGGUGGAAGGAGUAAAAAUGAUCUUCUUUCUUCCUCCUGGUCAUGAAUUUUUUUGUGGAUAUAUCCAAGGAAGAUAAAGGAAAAGGCAAUCUUUCGAUGUUAUAAUAUUGAGAAUGAUGGCAUCCUGAUUAUUCACUUACCCUUGAGGGUGUAGCUUUCGAAAUUGUAAACAUUGUUGAAUAUUUUAUGAUAUGUUAUGAUGAAAAGAUACACACAAAGAUAAUAUGUUGUCGUUGCAAGUAUGAUUAUACUUCAUCAUUUUCAUGAUGAAGUUGAGGAAUCAUUAGUUUUAAUCUCCAAAACCUCCAAAUUGAUUCUCUUCGUUGCAGCAAAAUGUCAAAGGAGAUAUCUUAGCCUAUGUUCAAAUUGAUAGUGAAUCUCUCCAAAGGUAAAAGCUUUUUAGAAGUCAAUUUUUUUUCGGACCAUACACUGAGAAAUGCUCUAAGGAAUCAUGGACCUUCCUUUUCAUUAGGUUUUAAUGACACUAUUUAAAGUCCUAAAGGAACUCAAUAGCAAGUUCCAUGUAGCAGACAUGAUUGAUGCAAGUGAAAAAUCUGUAAUUUUUAGGCACCCUGAGUCUGCUUCUUUUCUAUGGUCGCGACUAAAUAAUAAUUUUAAAGCUUUUAAUUGCAUUUUUUUUGAUAUAGUUGUAAUUGCAUGAACUUCACUUUCUAGUUCUGUGUUCUCUUUGGAUGAGAUUGUAAGGAUGUUGAAGUUUGGUUCUUGUUUGAGCAUGUGAUCAGAUUGGAAGUAUGAGAAUAAUUUGAAGUUUCUUGUUUGAAGAACCUAUAAUUAUUUUGAUUAUGGUUAUAAUCAGGAGAAAGACAUGAAGGUUUAAUUUUCAUUAAAUGUUAGUGUAGGCUCAAAUAUAUCAAGGUUGCAGUUUUUGUUUUUAAUUGAAAAGGUUUGGUCCAACAUGACAUCAGUUAUCAUUUAUUUUCAUUCUAAAUGGGUUUUUGUUGAAAACAUAACAAAAGUAUGAAGAGAUUAAAGACCCUCCUGAAUCCUCAAUAUUCUUUCUUUAGUGUCAUCUCUCAUCCAAGUACCAACUUCAGAAAGUGAUGAGAGAUACAUGGUUGCUAGGCACUUAUAAAGUCAUUAAAAUUAUGAUGGAAGUUAUGAUAAAUUGGAUUGAGUAAGUUGAUGCCAUUUAUUCAAGGUGCCAACUAACUUGAUGAUCUCGGUCCUAUCCUCUCUAGGUUCCAGACAUCAACUUGAGGUUUCUCAGUCAUAAAGGCCUGAGAUUGGUUUAUAUUCUAAAUGGGUGUUUAAGAUGUAAAGCAUGAGGUCAUUCGAAGUUAAAAUAUCUGAUAUUUGUCCCUUCUAUCUUAAAUAUUUACGAAGUCUACCUUACAUGAUUUUUUCCCAGGUUUAUCUUUCUAGGUGCUUCAGGUACAGUUGUAGUCUUAUUACGUCCAUGUAUUGUUAAGUGUUCAUGCUAGUUUCCAUGUGCAAAUGUUCAUGGUAGAAAUUAUCCCAGUUUUAUCUUUUGCUGUUGUCUUUUUGCAUAUAGAGAACAGUAUCUAAAACUUGUUAUAACUACA